rnacentral:lncRNA from 1 species
CCUCACCCCCUCACCCCAGCUAGGUCAGCGUGGAGGAUGGGGACGCCCACGUGGCAGGACCCAGUGUCGAGCCACACAGGCACAACUCCCGGCCCCCGCAGCCCAAACGCCCUGGUCCCGGGCCCUGCCGGUGCAGCAGGUUCUGUGUUAAGCAUUAACCAGCCCACGGCUCACUGCCAGCAGCAGAUAAGGGGCUGGUGAAUCACCCUGGCCUGGGACCUGGAGGGACUGGACCAGAUUAGCUGGCCAGAGCACAGUGGGGGAGCUCGGAUGUGCAGGCCCCACUGAAGCGGCACCAUCGAGGACAGACUGCAGGGAGGGCUGCGGUCCACUGGCUCCCCCCGGCCAUCCAGAUGAGGGCUGCUCGUUGGGAAACCAAGAGCUCAAGGGACCGGGGCAAAGCACAGACAGGAUGGCCUCCACAAAGCUCCCUGGUCCCGGAAGCUGGGUGGCAGCAGGACCAAGCAGGCACACGGACCCCUGGGAGAGCUCCACCCAGCAUGGCUCAGGGCGGCCCCAGCCCGAGGGCCUGCAGACCCCUGCCCCGCUCCCACCCUCCUCACGCUUGGUGGGGUGCAGCCAGCAGUGCCGGAAGGCUGCCCCAUGACUCAGCAGCCCCUCGGAGGGCCAAGCCUGCACAAGUCUGCCCGCCCCCCAGGUCAGCCGGCUGGGCCCAUCACUCCGCUCGAAAAGCCUGUGGGGCUCAGGACACCUCCAGCCCUGAGGGACCCCUGGAAAUAGGCUGGGGCCCAGACACUCAGCCCAGGCUUUGGGGGAGCCUUCCUCCCCGGAUAGUUUUCUGGCUCCUGAGGGCCAGCAGUUCCGGCCACGAGGUGGGGCUCCCCGAAGCCCUGCCUCCCACACCCUUUCCUCCCCACUGAGCUUUCCUGAUCACUAGAGGCAGAGGGAGCACUGGGCUCCGGCCACAGGCUGCAAGUGGGCCUGGCCUCUUGGUGUCCAGGGUCUGAGAGGAAGGCCUGAGGCCGGCUAGCCAAGGAAGUGUUGGGCAUCAGGUGAGAGGCCGCACACUUGGGGUCCGCCAGCAGACCGUGGGGAGAUCUUGCACACAGAGGGCGUCCAACGUCUCAGUUGACUGGUGGUGGAGGACAGUGGUCAGCAGUAAGUGCCGGGCCUGGGCUGGCAGAGCGGGCAGGAGGCACCCAGCCACUGCACUGAUCCCAGUGAGGGAUCCAGCCAAAGCCGGCAGCCUAGAGGGCUCCUUGGAGGAGGUGGGGCUCAUGCAGUCCUUGAAGGGCUCACGGGUGGGAUGGGGCGGAGACUGUGGGGCUGGUCUCGCAGCCUCGGGAAUGAGCUGGAGCCCUCCCAGAUGGGCAGCCAGAGCUGGGUGCACAUGGUGACAGGGAGGGGGCCGGGGGUGGGGACCUCAAUUGGGGAAGGACACCUGUUUCCCUUUCCUGGUAAAACUGCCCUGACCCCUAAAGAGGCUUUUCCUCUUAGGGCCACAGAAGACAGACCACUAAUUUUAGGCAGCAGGACGAGAGGCCUGCCUUCCCUUCCCGGGGGGACGCUGUCCCAGGCUGUCCCAGCAAGAAUGGCUCAGUCCCGGGCUCGGGUGGGGCUCUCAGGCUGUGGGCCUCUCUGGCCUGUCUGGCCUGCGCUGGGUGCUUUCCCCUGGAUGCCCAGUCUGGAGGCUGGAGGCUGCCCAGUGAUGGGGACCAGUGGGGUGGACGGCGCCACCUGGUGGCUGUGUGCCCGCCGGAACCUGUACCACCAUGGGGACCCAGAGGUCCUGUGGGACCCUGCAGGGUUUGCGAUUCUCCCAGCCCAGCAACUGGUGUCCCCAGGGUCCCAAGACCCUCCAUGUUCAGCCUCCAGGCAACCCCUGUGGUCCCCUGUGGACUGGCUUUGCAAGGCCGGCCCAGGAAUCCUGCCAGACCGGCAACACCAAUUCACGGCUCAGGCCCCAUCCCCGCCCUUUGCCCCCAGCCCUGCUUAGAUUCAGGGCGGUAGGACCCCCAGCCAAGCGGGGCUAGAGGAGGCCACAGGAGUCGGCUCCAGUCACAGAAAGCAUGUGUUCUCUGGCUUCUCAAAGGGAAAAGUGGCUUUGCGUUCCACGCAGGGAGCAGGAGGCUGUUUGAACCUGGCCUUGCCUCCUACUUCAGGAACCCCAUGUGACCUGGUGGGACCCCCUGAGGCUCCUGCCACCUCAUUCCAUCCACAGCCACUAGGGGUGCUCUGCCAGCCACAUGUGGGCUGUGGAGUUCCCAGGGCAAGAGGGAGAGCAGUGCCUGGAGUCUCAGGGCAGACUGUCUGGGUGGAGGGGCCCCAACCAAAUUAGGGACUGGGGUCCAUAACCAAAUUAUGGCCAGAUAUAGAAUUUACAGGGCCCAACAUGGAAUGAAAAUGUGCAACCUCUUAUUCAAAAAAUCAGGAAUUUCAGGAGCAAGGACAGACAGGCAGUUAACCCAGCAUGGAGGGGAGGGGGUCUGGGCUGCAGGUUGUAGCCCUGGAAGCCUGCCCCACCUUCAGUUCCCCCCAGGCCCCAGGCCCUGCUCUGAGGCAGUGUGGGCUCCAGCCUGGGUCCACUCUCCUGAAAACUUUUCAGGGUCAACCUGUGUGCAGCCUCUGGUCACUGAGGAGGGGUGUUCUGGGACCAGAGCUCCUCAGCCCAUUGGCCGUGAGACACUGAUGCUACGGGGGGGGGGGUCACCCCUGGGAUCAUGGUGUGUAGGGACAGGUUCAGAGGUGAAAGGGUCCAACAACUGGUUAGUUCUGGGGGGGGGGCUGGCCUGGGCUGGCCCCUGAAGUCUGUGGGCUCCUGUGCGCGGGUUGGAAUUAGGCUUCAAGGGCUGGAAUCCAGACUCUGGCUGGCUGCUGCCCCUGGGAUGGGGGAGAGCUGAGCUAGAGAGGACUCUCCCCAGGGUCAGAGAGGAACCCCAGCUCCCAGCUGGGGACCCUGUCCUCCAUUCGUGGGGGCGGGACCACCCUGGCCAGGUGCGCUUCCUCCCCAGCCCCAGGCAGGUGGGGUGCAGUCCCAGGACGGCAGUGCCCCACCCUCCAUCCCACCCGCAUGCCAGGGGUGGGGGCAGGCAGGUAGGCGAGUCUGGGCAGGGCUGCGUCAGAGUGGAGGAAUGUUCUGGCGCUCCCAGCUACACCCUGCCCCUGCCUGCCCCCACCUCCCCUCAUCCCCAGGCACUGCUGGCCUGGCGCCCGUCUAACAAAUGCACCUUAAGCCCAGGCCUUCUCCAAGGAGCCCCUGCCAGUGCAGCCCUGCUCCCCGGACCCCCAGCUCACUCCCAUGACCCCCACAGAGCUCUAGGUCCACGGUCCCGAGCUGCCCCUGGUCCUGGGGCCAUAGUGAUCAGGUCCACCCGUGAACAAGCAGACCCUAGUGGACCCCAGCUGAGGAGGGGGGUGAAACUCCCACCCCAUGAAAUGAGACCCCAGGAAGAGCUCAGAACCCGGAAAGGGGCAGGGAGGGGGCUUCUUGGAA